rnacentral:rRNA from 1 species
CCUACGGGUGGCUGCAGUGGGGAAUAUUGGACAAUGGGGGCAACCCUGAUCCAGCCAUGCCGCGUGUGUGAAGAAGGCCCUCGGGUUGUAAAGCACUUUCAGUGAGGAAGAACGCCUGGUGGUUAAUACCCAUCAGGAAAGACAUCACUCACAGAAGAAGCACCGGCUAACUCCGUGCCAGCAGCCGCGGUAAUACGGAGGGUGCGAGCGUUAAUCGGAAUUACUGGGCGUAAAGCGCGCGUAGGUGGCUUGAUAAGCCGGUUGUGAAAGCCCCGGGCUCAACCUGGGAACGGCCUCCGGAACUGUCAAGCUAGAGUGCAGGAGAGGAAGGUGGAAUUCCGGGUGUAGCGGUGAAAUGCGUAGAGAUCGGGAGGAAUACCAGUGGCGAAGGCGGCCUUCUGGACUGACACUGACACUGAGGUGCGAAAGCGUGGGUAGCAAACAGGAUUAGAUACCCUAGUAGUC